GAUGAACGCUGGCGGCGUGCCUAAUACAUGCAAGUCGAGCGAACAGACGAGGAGCUUGCUCCUCUGACGUUAGCGGCGGACGGGUGAGUAACACGUGGAUAGCCUACCUAUAAGACUGGGAUAACUUCGGAAAACCGGAGCUAAUACCGGAUAAUAUAUUGAACCGCAUGGUUCAAUAGUGAAAGACGGUUUUGCUGUCACUUAUAGAUGGAUCCGCGCCGCAUUAGCUAGUUGGUAAGGUAACGGCUUACCAAGGCAACGAUGCGUAGCCGACCUGAGAGGGUGAUCGGCCACACUGGAACUGAGACACGGUCCAGACUCCUACGGGAGGCAGCAGUAGGGAAUCUUCCGCAAUGGGCGAAAGCCUGACGGAGCAACGCCGCGUGAGUGAUGAAGGUCUUCGGAUCGUAAAACUCUGUUAUUAGGGAAGAACAAAUGUGUAAGUAACUAUGCACGUCUUGACGGUACCUAAUCAGAAAGCCACGGCUAACUACGUG
rnacentral:rRNA from 1 species